rnacentral:lncRNA from 1 species
ACAAAUGCAUGACACGCGGCUGCGGAAGGCAGUGCGCUUAGGAAGCCCGCCGCGGCGGCAUGCCGAAUUGAAGGCGUUGAUUUAGGAGCAUAUAGACAGCAGCCGCGGGAGGCGGUGUGCUUGUAGAAAAGCCGCCGCGGCGGUCCGCUAAGUGCGGCACAAAUGCAUGACACGCGGCUGCGGAAGGCAGUGCGCUUAGGAAGCCCGCCGCGGUGGCAUGCUGAAUUGAAGGCGUUGAUUUAGGAGCAUAUAGACAGCGGCCGCGGGAGGCGGUGUGCUUGUAGAAAAGCCGCUGCGGCGGUCCGCUAAGUGCGGCACAAAUGCAUGACACGCGGCUGCAGAAGGCAGUGCGCUUAGGAAGCCCGCCGCGGCGGCACGCCGAAUUGAAGGUGUUGAUUUAGGAGCAUAUAGACAGCGGCCGCGGGAGGCGGUGCGCUUGUAGAAAAGCCGCUGCGGCGGUCCGCUAAGUGCGGCACAAAUGCAUGACACGCGGCUGCGGAAGGCAGUGCGCUUAGGAAGCCCGCCGCGGCGGCACGCCGAAUUGAAGGUGUUGAUUUAGGAGCAUAUAGACAGCGGCCGCGGGAGGCGGUGCGCUUGUAGAAAAGCCGCUGCGGCGGUCCGCUAAGUGCGGCACAAAUGCUAUGACACGCGGCUGCGGAAGGCAGUGCGCUUAGGAAGCCCGCCGCGGUGGCAUGCUGAAUUGAAGGCGUUGAUUUAGGAGCAUAUAGACAGCGGCCGCGGGAGGCGGUGUGCUUGUAGAAAAGCCGCUGCGGCGGUCCGCUAAGUGCGGCACAAAUGCAUGACACGCGGCUGCGGAAGGCAGUGCGCUUAGGAAGCCCGCCGCGGCGGCACGCCGAAUUGAAGGUGUUGAUUUAGGAGCAUAUAGACAGCGGCCGCGGGAGGCGGUGUGCUUGUAGAAAAGCCGCUGCGGCGGUCCGCUAAGUGCGGCACAAAUGCAUGACACGCGGCUGCAGAAGGCAGUGCGCUUAGGAAGCCCGCCGCGGCGGCACGCCGAAUUGAAGGUGUUGAUUUAGGAGCAUAUAGACAGCGGCCGCGGGAGGCGGUGCGCUUGUAGAAAAGCCGCUGCGGCGGUCCGCUAAGUGCGGCAUGAA